CAUUUCUCUUUUAGCACGCUCUUUGUUUUCUUCUUCCAGAAGCUGUAGACGGCGAUUAAGUUUGAUUAUCUAAAAAAAGAAAGUCUGCUUUAAUGCCUGGUAUAAGACUGCUAGAUUCUCUAAAGAAUAUAUAAAAAGAAGCAUAUUUUAGAUACCUGUCUUCUUAAGGAAGCAGCAUCCACAACUGACAUGUCAUCUGGAGUUCCCUCAAGUGUUGCGUCCAAGUUUGAAAGACCGUACCUAUCAGAAGGGGGAAAAAAAGUUUAGCUGCUCUACAUGUUGCGUGAAGAGUAAUUGGUUUCUGCAAAGAACUGUUUGUGUGAUGAGGAAUGUAUGCAUCAGGGAAAGAAGGUGUGAAGGCCAUUUUUGAAGCCAGAUGGCCAAGGGAGAAGGAGUAAAGAAACUAAAAAGACUGAAAAGACUCAGAGAUGCCAGAGAACCAUCAAUGCGCAUCCAUCCUUGAGAAGGGACAGAUUAACGACCCUGAGAUGAAGGCUGGCAUCCUUAAAACACAAAAUUAAUUACAUCAAAACCAGACAGAAUGACCCUCCUGGAGGUGUUUUGGGCCAUCAAAAGAUAACACCCACUGAGGAGUAACCGGUCAUAAACAGACACAGUAAAUCCAUAGACUUCAAUGGAGAAGAAGGACUAUAAGAACAGGGUGCUUUGCCAUGGAGUCUUGCCAACAACUCCAGGAGCAUCAGAUCGCCACCAACAGAGCCUGGCUCCCCGCUGGGACCAAACUGGCUGGCCACUAGAUUGAUCCAAACUCUACACUAGUAACUAUAAACAUCAACUGGCAAAACUGUGUGUGUGUGUGUAAGUUACUAAAAAGCAUAUACUAACUGCUAUAUUCUCAAAUGCAGCGUGUUGCCUUUUCCCCUAUAAAAAAAAAAUCUUGUGUGCUCUGUAUAGCAUAACACUGUGGCUGAAAGAGAUCAGCUGGAUUAUCAACUGAUAUGUGAAAAAACUAGUUUUUGAAAGGCAAGGAACUGCAGUGAACUUUGUUGAGGGACAACCUAAUUAGGCAACCUCCUGUCAAAACAGCCACUGUCAUCCUAAGUCACUAUAAAACAAACAUUUCCUUACCUAUAAGGAUAAUUAAAACAGGGGGACUUUUAAAAUUCAAUUUACUGUGUGUUAUUUAUGCUGUUUACUAUUUACAUUUCCCUCAGCUUAGACUAUGUGAAAAUCAAUGAAGUGUUUCACUUUCAGGAUCUCUCUACUGCAGCAAUCAGGUUGCAAACACAGCAGAGGAAUGUUUAAAUAUACAUUUCAGUAUAUUAAAAACCACUGUGAAGAUUUCUGCUGAUUUAGGUUUUAUAAAACACUGUAGAAAAAUCUAAAUUUUCUGCCAAAUUUGAAUCUAAGGAUCCUUUCUCAGAGAUAACCAGUAUCCAUAGACUUGAUGAGUACAAUUCUGUUUCAUCUUUAUUGGGCAGAUUUUCUGGAGGAAAAAAAUAUGAACUAGGAACAGUCCCCUAAACCAGACAGUGAAUGUACCUGUCCUUGAGCUGUUUUGAGGGGAUAAUCUCACUGGGCAUCUAGGAAACGAAUCCUCAGGUUUUACCUAACUAUAGCCUGGAGAGAAAAAAAAAAAAACAUUCUCGAUGGGCCUAACUGCCUCCACCACUUACAGAACUGCAGGAAGUGACACUGGCUGGAAUUCAAAGACAACUCUGCAUUAGACCCCUCAGGAUAGUGCUGUUAUGCCACAGAGGGAGAAAGCUCUAUCUGGAUUGGAGCAAAUUUAUAUACACAGAAACUUGAAAAUCCCUCACAGCAAGGAAGACUUGAUACUGAGGCCAGGUGGUGGCAGCCUGUAUUAAAUAGUUCCACAUGGCAUAAUUUCCUAAUGUUGUGGUGACGCAAAGGCCUUUUUCUUGCUUACAACAUAGCUGUGGCAUAAUACUUAAAUGAUAUAAAUCACUCAGACUUUCCACUACAAUUGCUCCAGCCAUCUCCUGUUGCUUAAUGUCACAGGUCAUUUGUAAGCCACAGUGAACCUAUGACACAGAAACUGGGGGAGUAGGGAGCUUUCAGGGGCUACUGUAUCAAUGGCUGAAGAAAAAAAAAAAACGUAUACAAAUCUGACCAGACCACUUGCAGACUAGUCUGUUGGCAUCACAAUCCUAUCCCUCAGAGCUGGCUGAAACCUCACUGGUUCUAUCAGUCUCCUCAGAUGGCAUAUUGAAAACAGAGCCAGCAUUCCAAUGACAUAGGUGCACUCCAACCUCAGACGGCAGCAGUUAUGAUAAGUCUAUCACAAGUGUAUUAUUAUCACCUCACCAACCUCCAAUCCCCUUCCAAAUACUAGAUCCAGAUUGUAAUCAGCUAUACUGGCAGAGCCAAAAAUCACUCUCAAUUAUGAAAGCUAUAAAUUCCCAAGUCAACCCAGAAGAAUGAUCUGUAUGGAUCCAGACUUGGAGAUCUGUUAAGGGUUAGUCUUAUAGACCAAUUUUUCUUAUUUUAAAAUGUUAAUGUUUAGAUAACAGAAAAAGGAGUUACCACCCCUACUCAGCUUUUAAAAAUCUUUAUAACUUUUGUAUAUUCAGGAUGUUUACCUUUGGGGAGAUGGCAGGGGUGGUAAAGAAUGGGAGGUGGAAGGAAGUGAAAUUUACAUAAUAUGCAGAAAGAAAGAUUUCUCAUAGUUUUAGCCAUCAGAUCAUAAAUCAGGUUUUUACCCACUUACAUUGAAAUGACACCCAUCUAACAGAAAAAUGGAUAUGGGAAACCCCAUGCAAAACAAUAAGGCACAUUAUUGAAAACGUCUACAUUUUACUGUUUAUACACACUUUAGAUAUUAUUUGGCUUCACACCACUUUAUUUACUUCCCUCAGAGAAAAGCAGAGGUCAGAGGCCCAAUGGAAGUACUACCACAUGUGCUUCUAUCAUAGAUUAAAAGCUUCAAUUGACAAAUUGAAACUAAAUUCUAAAGCUGACAACAUAUUUUAAGGACCUGAACCUUAAUGAGAGCUUUGCUAAUGACAGUGAUAGGCAUACAGUCAUGCCCCACAGAACCUCUCUCUAUGCAGAAAGGAUGUUGAUCAAAUGUUAUGUUCAGCAUAGGUGUCCCCAAAACUAUUUUGGGAUUCAGUAAUCAAAAACAAUUAAGUCAUGAAAUUUUAAAGCCUAAAAUAGUGCACCCUGACUAAAAAGAAAUACGUUUACCUGGUGUUUUCAUGAUGAGGGUUAGAGGAAGUGGCAGCAGCUGACCCACCUCGUAACACAGGCCUACGGCAGGUUAUUGCAGAUAGGAGGCACAAGACAGAAGCAGGAAACAGCAUAAACACAGAGAAAAGAUACAACAAAAGAAACAAGGACAAAGAAAUGUCAAAAUAUUUUCCAUUAUAUUGUAUGGUAUUUCAAUACAAUAUAAUAUUUAGUUAAUAUCGUGUUAUAAACUGUAUUUUUGAAAUACCCCAUAUAAUAUUCUUUUUAUUUAAUAUAGCACUAACAAUAAAAGUAUGCAGCUAUUGUAACAACCUAGUCAUUCUUGAUGGAAAAGACUGAUUUAUGGGUAUAUAUGCUGUUGAGAUACAAGUCUGUGAAUAAGAGCUCUCGAUAUAGGCUUUUUAAAUGCUAAUAAUGAAAAACAAUCUCAGCUCCUCCUCUUCUCCCCUUCACUUACUGUCUUUCUUCCAAUUUCUUUUUUUAACUCUUUUCUUUCUGUCCUCUUCGGAUCCAUCUCAGCAGAAACAGAAGAGCCAAGGCUUUCCAGGUUGCUACAAUUAUGUCUAGUAUGCUCAUGGCUGCUGAAAAGGUACUAAGGUCUUGAUUUCCAGAACUGCUGAGCACCCACAGCACCUCCUAACUUACUGUGGAGUUGCAGGCAUUUAGCACUUCUCAAAAUGAGGCUGUAAGUGACCUCUAGCAUCUGUCUGUAUGCUGAAACAUCUAUGAUGUGUAAUCACUUCUCCAAAGCCUUGGGGGUCUCUUUUUCUCACUCUUAUCUCACUUCAGGCCAGCUGCAGACAUCUGCACAACAUGCUAGUCCCAAGUAUGUACUAGGCUCCAGGUAAGACUAAAGAAUCCAGGUGUGAUGACCUUUAGAGCAGAAGUGUGUGGGCAAGAGGAUACACACAGCCCACAGGUCUGGCGCUGAGAAGGCUGAGAGAACUCUCUCUGGGGAAGGAGUAGAGGUGAGCAACCAUGUACACAAAAGAACACACAAAAACCUCACAAUUAGUAGUUUCAUUUCAAGAAGAUGAAGAUUGAGGUGCACAAACAGAACAGUGCGGAAACCUUGCACUGUGCUUACUUGCACUAGGCCUGGCUCUGAUCAGCAAUUCUGGUGCUUAACUUGUAUCAGCAACAAACUCACCCAUAAAAUUAAAAAUACAAAAAAAAGUUUCCAUAACAUACACCUCUACCCCGAUAUAACACGAUCCAAUAUGACACUAAUUCGGAUAUAACGUGGUAAA